UACGUAGGUGGCAAGCGUUACUCGGAAUCACUAGGCGUAAAGCGCAGGUAGGAGGUUUAGUAAGUCUGUUGUGAAAGCUCCCGGCUUAACUGGGAGAGGUCAACGGAAACUGCUAGGCUAGAGUGCGGUAGAGGUAGCUGGAAUUCCCGGUGUAGCGGUGAAAUGCGUAGAUAUCGGGGGGAAUACCUAUGGCGAAAGCAGGCUACUGGACCGUCACUGACUCUGAUCUGCGAAAGCUAGGGGAGCAAACAGG
rnacentral:rRNA from 1 species